rnacentral:rRNA from 1 species
CCUACGGGGGGCUGCAGCUAAGAAUCUUCCGCAAUGGGGGAAACCCUGACGGAGCGACGCCGCGUGGAUGAUGAAGGCCGUAAGGUUGUAAAAUCCUUUUGUUGGCGAAGAAUAAGCAGGAGAGUGGAAAGCUCCUGUGAUGACGUUAGCCGACGAAUAAGCCCCGGCCAAUUACGUGCCAGCAGCCGCGGUAAUACGUAUGGGGCGAGCGUUGUUCGGAGUUAUUGGGCGUAAAGGGCAAGUCUGGGGCGAAAUCGACAGGCCUAACCUGUCAUAUGCGCUGGAAACUGGUGGGCUUGAGUUCUUGAGGGGAAGCUGGAAUUCCAGGUGUAGGAGUGAAAUCUGUAGAUAUCUGGAAGAACACCGGUGGCGAAGGCGAGCUUCUAUCAGAGGACUGACGCUGAGGCGCGAAAGCGUGGGGAGCAAACAGGAUUAGAUACCCUAGUAGUC